GCUGUAACCCUAAGGUGUGCUGUGACUUUAAGAGUGCUGUGAGUGAUAUGUAACCAUAGUAACCAUACGACAUAAAAGUAGAACCUUAAGUGGUAUGGGAUUGAUAAGGAUGCACCCCAAACUGGACAGGGCGUGGUCCAAAAUGGACAGUGUGAUAAGGCUGAACCAAUACCACAAACGCCCAGUUAGAAUAGCAUAAAAGGAGCUGAAGACCUCAAGCAAGUCGACGAUCCCUCCCACCGACCAGUCUACUAGUCAGUCUGUUGAUCUGACUACCGACCGGGACACCUGCACCUGAUCCCGCUGGAAGGAGCAUCGCCCCCGACCAGACGAGACCAGAGGACGAGGCAAGUGGAGAGACGGACAGCCUAGCGCCGACUCGACGCCCUUCGUCUACGGAUCACACCCUCUGACCGGACGGGAGGAAACGUCGCGCUCCCAUAAGGACUUGCGCAGUACAGGAACGAGAACAGCUGGAAUAAAUGCUGAGCCAUCUGGUCUGUGGCAGUAGCUGUGGUGGUCCAAGGCUCACUGAAGCACUCAUUUCUACCACCCUCUGUACCUGGGGUGCGCUUCACUCUGCAGCAUCACUGGGAUAUUCACCGGAUCAGAAAUCCUGGCAGUUUGGCCAGCAAUCAGAAUUUUAUAAAGCUCUCCGGGUGAUGCUGAUACAUGUUGAUGUUUGA
rnacentral:lncRNA from 1 species